rnacentral:tRNA from 3 species
CCCUCGGUCGUCUAGUUGGUUUAUGGCGUCCGGCUGUAAACCGGAAUGUCGCGCGUUCGACUCACGCCUGAGGGA